rnacentral:SRP_RNA from 1 species
GCCAGGUGUGGUGGUGCACACCUGUAGUCCCAGCUACUGGGAGGCUGAGGCAGGAGAAUCACUUGAACCUGGGAGGCGGAGGUUGCAGUGAGCCGAGAUCACACCACUGCACUUCCAGCCUGGGUGACAGAGCAAGACUCUGUCUCAG